UCACUUGUUUUAGACACUGAUCCAUUAAGUCCAAAAGUGGACGAUAAAGAAGUCCAUUUAGUCUUGAGAUGGACGAUGCAAAAGUCUGUUUUAGAUACUGAUAUGUUUGGUCCAUAAGAAGGACGAUGAAGAAGCUUUUGAUUUUGGUUUAUUUUAUACUAACCAACCCAAAGAGGAGUUAUUUGGUUUUGUUGAUUUGUUUUCAGACAGGUUAUGUUUUACGCAUGGUGGUACACGCAUAUCACAGCAACAUCAUCCAAGAUUUCGUGUGUGUGUAUUUGAGGCCGAUGACUCAAUAUGUUCGAUCAGAUUGUGGCAUGGCCGAUGGUAAAGAAGAACCAACUAUCAUGUUCGAGGACGAAGCAUAUUCUGCCGAAGAUCUUCAUCACCCACGGAUUGCAGAAAAUUGGAGAGGUCCAAGGGACCUUCAGUAAUGUCCAAAUCAUGGGGAGUAAUGUGUGUUGUACUCUUUUUCUUUCACUAUGGUUUUGUCUCAAUUAGGUUUUCCCGGUAAGGUUUUAAUGAGACGAUAUUAAAGCACAUUACAAGCUAUAAAUGGUUAUGGCAUCCAAGGGGGAGUGUUAUGAACCAGACUGUGGAUGAUUCAUAACCAAGAGAUUAUGAUUUGUAAUCUUUUCAUUUAUCUAUGACGGUGUAAUCUUUUAUAUAAAGAACUUAUAUGUUACGAAUAAAGAUAGAAUUUUCCUUUACUUUUAUAAUAAUUUCGACCUAAUUGGCGCAUUGAUAUGUGCUUUUCUCUACGCCGUGCUGGGCAGCACGUUAAAAUGGACCACCACGUUUGAGUUGUGUUAAAAUCAAAUUGACCGGUUUUAAUUACGUUGUGGGACUCCUCUUUGUAGGUCCUACUCCCUCCUUCCACGUUUCCAUUUGUAGCCGUCAGAUUUAAAUUACCACAAAACGAUUCGUGUUGAAAAGUCAAUCAAAUCGACGGACACGGUUAGCUGUUGGGUGAACUAAUCAAUAUUAAGGUCGUUCGACCACGACAUCGCAGCGGCUAGUCCAAGUCAUGUGCCAUUUUUUCUACAAAUUUAGAGUAAGUUUUGGUUUCAAUCUAAUUAUCGCCACAUGAUUUGUUUUUAACGAUUAUCGUUUCUCGUUAGAGUAUUAUUCUCCGAGUUAAACUUGUUUUUCCAAAAAUGGGACCCAACAGUGAUAAAAAGGAGAUUAAUGGUCUAUAAGAGUGAGUGAAAAUAGUAAAAAGUGGUCAAUACCGUGUGCAGGGGAUAAAGAAAGUACACAAAACUCGAAAAAGGCCAAAAGAAUCAUGGACGUGGACCGGUUCCAUGUGACUAUUCUUCGAACCAAAGUAAACUUGAAAGCUUUUCUGGAAAAAACCUUAAAUAUUUCACGUUGACAUUAUACAAAUGAAAACUAUAGCUUAGCAGUAGCACACAACAAAGAUUAAAAAGAAAUAAUAUGAAGUGAUAAAUCUUCGAUUUUUGUAAGAAUAUUAAUUAAGUAAUUAGCAUGCGAUAAAAUAGAAAAUACUAAUUAGCAUGGUAACGAGGAUUUAAUUAUUCAGUUAAAACUUACUGUCUUUUUUUUUACACUUUACUCACUCAUUUUGUCCACAUAUAUGCUUUAUUGAUAGUCAUCACCAACCACUAUAACGUCUCUAUCUAAAAUACACCAACAUAUACUUAUAUAAUCGAAGUAAAAUACACGUAGGGGGGCAAAUAUACAUAAAUCUAUGAGUAUGAAACUUGUCAUUGCACAAUUUUGAUCUCUAUGUGUAUCUGUGAGAAGAAACAAAGAUAUAAAUAUCUGGUUGGUUAGAAGAAUGUAUACCUACCUUGUUAUUUAAUUCAUGUAAUAUGAAAUAAAUUUACAUAUUUUGUUUUUUCUCAUCACGUCUUUACUAUAAGAAUACAUCAUCUAUGAUGUAUCCAGUUCUUAUCCGAUUCACUCCACAGCAUUUUUUUGCUAUUCCAAAAUAUCUUGAUCCUUCUUUGGUCAAAGUCAAGAUAUCUUGAUCCUUGCUAAUGUAUUUUUCAUUUAGGCAUGUUAAUGAUUUGUGUUAGUAUUAUUAUUGUGUUAUCAUUCAUAUUCAAACAUGAUAGAUUACAUGUUUUUGAAAGAGUUACGUGUCUUCCUUCAAUAAUUGUGUACAUUUCAUGUUAAUAUGAAUGCAACCUAAUUAACCCACCUCACAUAUCUCCAAAAUGUGUAAAUACAUGUUUUAGGAGCGUUUUUCUUGCUAUUGAUUGUUUUAGAAAUUUAAAUUUUGCCAAACGAAAUAUAUUAAUUUUAUUUGUAAAUAUGUCAUAUUUUAAAACAUUUUAUUUUCAUAUUAAGUAAUCCAGUUUCUAGUAAACAUUUAAUUAUAUUAUAUGUUUUAUACCGUUGAUAUGUUAGUGAGCGACAAAAGACAUGAUUUAGACACAGUUUUUUCUACAUCGAAUAAACGUCUCCAGCGGCUACGGUCGCCGGAAUUUCUUCAUCUGUUUUAUUUUUUUGUUAAUUGAUUUAUUCCACACAAAUUAUCAUCUACUCUUUUUGUUGAUUUAUCAUUCAAGUCUGUCAUUUCCUUCGGUGAUGGGGUCUAACUCUGUUACUGUAUGUGUCUCCCUCUAGGAGUUGUACUUUUUGAUGUUCAAUAUAUGCUUCGAUCGGUUUUAUUCUGUUUUGUUUGAUGCACUGUCUUCGUCCUUCUAAUAUAUUUCAUAGAGGUGGUCAAUAUUCCCAAUUAAUAUUUGAGAAUUCAGUUUCGCAUCCCGCCAUGGCCGGGAGCAGUGGCGGAGCCACAUUGUAUGAGACGGGGGCAUUUGCCCCCAACAACUUUUUAAAAUUCCAUGUAAAUUACUGAAUAAAUUUAAUAUACCCCCAUUGUUUUGAUCAAAUAUAGGUUUGAUCCAUUGACUAAUUUUACUCGUGCCCCCAACAAAAAAAUUAUCUGCCUCCGCCCCUGGCCGGGAGAGACUCAAAGAAGGCUGCAUCAUCACAAAAACUUUUCUCUUUUAUCAAAUUGUAUUUCCAACAUAAAUCACUGUAAGGGAUGGAGACGAAAGACCUUUGAUGUCUGUUACGUAUGACCAAUAUGGAUAAGAGAGGCAAUAUGGAAUCAAGAAAUUUGGUUACUCACACAUUUGAAGAAUUAUAUAUCUAAAAGGUUGGAUGAUGUUGUUGCACCACUCUCUAGACAUUAGGAAAUAGUGUUUGUUAGGGCAUUAACCAUGCUUUGUUUGUGCAUUAAUCUGAAGCAUAUACUUAAUAAUUGGUGUCUAGUCGUGAAGAUUAGAAAGCCACAAUAUCUUGGAAGGAUUUUGGUACGGACUAAAUAGUACCAAAGUAACUAUUUUUGGAAUUAUGUUUGGAGACAUCGGUUUGAAGAUUUGGUUUGUGAACAAAAAGUUCAACGUGAAGCUGCAUUCAAAUCACAUCAGAAGAAGAUCAUAUAUGUAACAGAUCAUAUAAUGUGUUAUUGUAUAAGACUAUUCUUUGGAAAGCAUCGUUAAAAUCUCUUAUGCUGUAAUUUUUUUCAUUGUUUUUUUCGGUCAAGUAUUUUUUUCAUUGUUAAAAAAGCAUACAUGUGUGUAUGUAUUAGCUUGUUUCCAAGUAAUUAUGUAAUGUUUUUUGUUAUCACAAUUUGAAAUUACUCGAAAAAGUAAGUAAUAAACCAGAUUUAAGACUUUAAUAACAUUAAGAUUUUUUUCUAUGAAUUAAAACAAAAUUACAUAGGUUUUAUGGAAAAAUCUGAUUUUAAAGCGAACAAAAUAUGGAGCGGAUUGGUUCAACGACUCUACCUGAAAGUUUGGUUUCGUCGCAGAAGAGAAAAAGGUUGUGUGUGACAACGUCACCACCAUCUCUCCUAAUUUUCUGAACCCAGAUACCUUUCCUUUUUCAUCAAAUCAUAGACCUACAACAUAUACCUUUUUUUGUCGGGAAAAAACAAGUAUUUUUAUAUAGUAUAAAGUGGUAUUUUUACUUUUUUUUUUUUUUUUUUUUUUUUUUUUUGUCACUGGGCGCUCUCUGGAAUCCCGGAGGAGUCGAAUCCGUGUGCCUUGGGAUCCAGUUCACUCUAGUGUUUUACCACUAGGCUAUUCUGUCCCGGCCUAGUGGUAUUUUUACUAUUUAGAUAAACAUCUUUCUGGUUAAAAAAAAAAGAUAAAAAUCUUUCUUUCAUAUCAAACUUUUUAUUAAAAAACUUAAUUUAGAAUAUGUAUUUUUUUAAAUAAUAUUUUAUAUAUUUUUGGUUUAUGUGAUACAUAAUGAAGAAUGAAUGUUAAAUUAUGGUUUCACUUAAAUUUUAUUUUCUGAGUCCAUUAUUUAAUACUCUGAUAUUUAAUACUAGUAAAUGGAAGGAAUAUAAUCAAUUACGUAAAAAAAAAACAUGAUAGAAUUAACAACUUCACCAAUCACGCCUUCUGGAUAUAAGUUAAAUAAAAAUGAUACUCCCUCCAUUCAUAAAAGAUCUAUGUUUUAUAAUUUUUUACAUUUUUUAAUAAAACAUAUUAAAAUUUGCUAUAAAUAUAUAGUUUUUUGUAAUUUUAUAUUUUAUAUAUUUUUAAACAAAUAAGAUUUUAAAAAAUGCAAUUAAUGUUUUUGAACUUCACAAUUUUUCAUUAUUAAUUGACAAAAAUUGCAUUGAAAAUAUAAAAUAUGUAUAUUUUUGAAAAAAAAAUUUAUCUAGAAUAUAGAUGAACGAAGAGAGUAUUUAAAAUCAUAAAACUCAUUUAAACACGCUUUAUUAAAACUAUUGCUUACCAUAAAUUACAGCUGGCUCAUAAAUACUUUUACAUCUUUCCCCAGAUUUUUAUUGACUAUUUUCAUUAACAUCCACAACUCGCACAAGUAUUUUUUUCAAAUUUAACAUCCAUAACCAAUCACUAUUUUGUGCUAAGGAAAAACUUACUUGUGGGGUAAAUUGCAUACGCAAUACUGAUAGUAACGUAUCUACCAAUUAGGCUAUUUUAUUAAUUUUUAAUGUUUAAAAUAGUUGUAAAUUAGAGUUAAUUAAACUAUAGUUGAAGAGAGAGAGAGAUACAUAGGAAGAAGAAGCAUACCCGAAAGUACCUCACUGGUUCAGAUUUAAAGUCUUUUGAUAGAAAAAAACCCAAAACCGAGUGAAAUUUUCGGACAUAAAAAAUCUAUCUCUAAAACCCUUUCUCUGAUUUUUGUUUUUGCUCAAGUUUUCCAAGUCUCCUGAAAAAACAAAGAGAAGAAAAAGACAGCAAACUGAUAGAGAGAGAAAGCUGCAUUUUUUUAAAAUAUGUAUGCUUUGUGCUCAUCCUUCUUGAUCUAACAUUGCCGACAACUUCUAGGCGAAUAAUCAAGCUUCUUACAUUUGGGGUUAAUUCAAAACCAACAUGAAUCUAUAAUUCUUGAGGAACUGGAUCCUGUUUAAAGAUCAUCUUUGUUCUCUUGAGUAAAAAAGAGUAACAAUGGCUCGAGGUAGAAUAAGAUCAAAGCUGAGACUAAGCCAUCUCUAUACAUUCGGAUGCCUUAAACCAAGUACACUCGAAGGUGAAGACCCACCACACCCACUCCACGGUCCAGGCUUCAGCCGUACAGUGUUCUUCUGUACACCAGCCUCCACUGC